UGGACCACUGUACACGUGUGUCAAGGAGUUUGCCUGCCUUCGAUUUUUCUAUAGGGUAUAAGGUCACUUCGAUUGGUUCAUUACGAGAUCUUAUAACACCGACAUACAUGGAGGGCAAGUAUGAUAUAUGUGCAUUACGAGACAUGUGUACCUUUACGGGCACCCAUACCCAGACUACAUUUGAGCUUUCUUCUUGGGCUAGGAUUUUCGGUCUUAGUUGUUUCUUAGUAGUGAGGCUCGUUACUCUUCAGGCUUCUAACAUCUUCCGGUGUCAU
rnacentral:lncRNA from 1 species